CGACCGCAUUGACCCCAUCUCAUUGAAAGACAUUGAUGAUAGUAAUGAAUGGUUGAUGGGUCAAAUGGAGGAAGAGAUUGAUAGAGAUGAACUUGUUUUUGAAGAUGAUGAUUUGACAUGGAAUAUGGUUGCUGCAGCUACUGGAGCUGAAGAGAAUGCCUACAACACUAGAUUAAGCAAAGGGAAAAAUGUUGCAUCUACAUCACAGCAAAAAAGAAAAGUAUCAUCCACUCGUACUUCUUCACUUCUUGAAGACGAGGAAGAA
rnacentral:misc_RNA from 1 species